rnacentral:rRNA from 1 species
AUCCUGGCUCAGAGCGAACGCUGGCGGCAGGCUUAACACAUGCAAGUCGAGCGGGCAUAGCAAUAUGUCAGCGGCAGACGGGUGAGUAACGCGUGGGAACGUACCUUUUGGUUCGGAACAACUGAGGGAAACUUCAGCUAAUACCGGAUAAGCCCUUACGGGGAAAGAUUUAUCGCCGAAAGAUCGGCCCGCGUCUGAUUAGCUAGUUGGUGAGGUAAUGGCUCACCAAGGCGACGAUCAGUAGCUGGUCUGAGAGGAUGAUCAGCCACAUUGGGACUGAGACACGGCCCAAACUCCUACGGGAGGCAGCAGUGGGGAAUAUUGGACAAUGGGCGCAAGCCUGAUCCAGCCAUGCCGCGUGAGUGAUGAAGGCCCUAGGGUUGUAAAGCUCUUUUGUGCGGGAAGAUAAUGACGGUACCGCAAGAA